rnacentral:rRNA from 1 species
AGUGAACGCUGGCGGCGUGCCUAAUACAUGCAAGUCGAACGGAAUUUAAAAGAGCUUGCUCUUUUAAAUUUAGUGGCGCACGGGUGAGUAAUAUAUAGCUAAUCUGCCCCUUGCUGGAGGACAACAGUUAGAAAUGACUGCUAAUACUCCAUACUCCUUUUUACCAUAAGAUAAAUCGGGAAAGAAUUUCGGCAAGGGAUGAGACUAUAUCGUAUCAGCUAGUCGGUGGGGUAACGGCCUACCGAGGCUAUGACGCGUAACUGGUCUGAGAGGAUGAUCGGUCACAUUGGAACUGAGACACGGUCCAAACUCCUACGGGAGGCAGCAGUAGGGAAUAUUGCGCAAUGGGGGAAACCCCUGACGCAGCAACGCCGCGUGGAGGAUGACAC